rnacentral:lncRNA from 1 species
GCCCCUUUUUCCUCCUUCACCCAAAUCCGCUCCAGCUGGUCGGGCUGGGCCCUUGCCCGGGAGGCCUGGAUGGUGGGCUGGGGGAAAGCAUCGUCCAAGCGGGGGAGGCAAUAGCGAAUUGUUCUACCUUCCGAAAAUCGCUCCACGUCGGCGGGUCCCCUCCCCCAUCCCUUGCAAACUCUGCUUGGGGCGCGGGCGAUGAAACCUGGGGGAGGGAGACUUCGGACUUGGGAAAAGCCACGUCUCCGUUCUCUACAAUUCUCCCCCACCCCCUCCUCCGAUGCCUCAUGUCUGGAGGGGGGGGCACGAGGAACGCUCCGCCAGGGUCGGCCUCAUGCGUCCCUCGGAUGCCUAGGCUUCCGCCUCCCGCAGGCCUCCAAGGUGUCAAGCCUCUGGACACUGGAUGCGGCAACCCUCCCCUCUCCCCCCUCCAUACACAUGCCCUGGGCGAAGGAGUCGCGAGGCCACCUCCCCAGGCCAUCCCUUUUGUGAAUGACAGCAUCAGCGGAUUUUAAAAAAGAGGAUUGGGGAGAAGAAAAGAGACGGAAGAAGAGGAGAGGAGAAAAAAGGAAAUUGAAGCAGAGAAGUAACAUAUAAUAAUCCUAGGCUUAAGCUAGAUUUAUUUUGGGGAAAGAUGAUUGUUCCUGAAAUGUUCUAAUUUCUUGUGUAUCUAGCUAUCCACUGCUGAUUGUAAGGAUUGCAAUCGUCAAUGACAGAUUUGCUUGCUUGGUUCUUUCUCUGAUGAAUCCAUUUAAUUCUGUGGCCACUGUGCCUUUCAUAGGAAGAGCUGCCUCACAGUCACAUGAGAAUAGAUCAAUUUUUGUUUGGCUCAUACGCAUCUUCUCAAAAUGAAUUAAGUAGAGUAAGUAGAAGAACUUUAAUAGGAUUGGAAGAUCAAAGAUGGUGAGAAGAUUUAAGUAUAUCGUCAGUACAUCAAGAAUAAUAAAAUUAAAUGUGUCUGAAAACAGAUGAUUCUAAGCAAUUUUGAUAGAGAUAGUCUCUUCCUCUCAAGUAACUUAAAAACCCUAAUUGGAUGAGCUGAUUUGGACAGUCAUCCCAGCCCCAGUGAAAUAAAUGUAUGGAAAGUAUAUAAAAAAUCCUUGUGCCUAUUUUGUUAUAUUGAAGUUCUCUUCAUGUGUCGUAUAUUCUCCAGCCAUCUUUCAAGAUCUACUACCGCUAAGAAGUCUUUGUACAUUUCUCUGAUUGCUGGGGUUCGCUCUAAAGCUCCUACAGAAGUUCUCCUCUGCAUCUCAAGAUUAGAUUUGGAAUCAUGUGCUGUCUUGUACUACUGGGUUUUUUUUCCCUUUUGCAUUUACUUUCCUUUCUCACGUAG